GAUGAACGCUGGCGGCGUGCCUAAUACAUGCAAGUCGAGCGAACAGACGAGGAGCUUGCUCCUCUGACGUUAGCGGCGGACGGGUGAGUAACACGUGGAUAACCUACCUAUAAGACUGGGAUAACUUCGGGAAACCGGAGCUAAUACCGGAUAAUAUAUUGAACCGCAUGGUUCAACAGUGAAAGACGGUUUUGCUGUCACUUAUAGAUGGAUCCGCGCCGCAUUAGCUAGUUGGUAAGGUAACGGCUUACCAAGGCAACGAUGCGUAGCCGACCUGAGAGGGCGAUCGGCCACACUGGAACUGAGACACGGUCCAGACUCCUACGGGAGGCAGCAGUAGGGAAUCUUCCGCAAUGGGCGAAAGCCUGACGGAGCAACGCCGCGUGAGUGAUGAAGGUCUUCGGAUCGUAAAACUCUGUUAUUAGGGAAGAACAAAUGUGUAAGUAACUAUGCACGUCUUGACGGUACCUAAUCAGAAAGCCACGGCUAACUACGUG
rnacentral:rRNA from 1 species